UGAGGAACAUGACCUUCGGCGGGGGGAUAGCCGGGCCCAACGGCCGGGUAAUACCGCGUACGACCACAUGGGGACAUCCCUGAGUGGUGAAAGCAGCAAUGCGCCGAUGGAGUGCCUCGCGGCCUAUCAGCUAGUUGGUGAGGUAACGGCUCACCAAGGCGACGACGGGUAGCUGGUCUGAGAGGAUGGCCAGCCACAUUGGGACUGAGACGCGGCCCAGACUNUUACGGGAG
rnacentral:rRNA from 1 species